GUCUGAAAAAACCGUGCGGUUCUCUUCCCCGGGUUGAGUCACCGGUGCCUGGGGAAGGCGUGUGGCGCGAUCCGCUGGGCUCCUAGUCUCUUAAAUGAGAUUUCGAGACCCCCUAGAAAUGCCAGAAAUACGGGUUGGGUCGUGAGGCCCCAGGAAGACAAUGGGUAACCCCCCAGUUUAGCGCGCUGCGUCCUCAUCUGAGAUUCCCGCUGAAGUUAAAGGCUUUGAUGCGAGGUGUAGACACUCACCUUGCCGAGUGAACCACACGUUAAUUUAAGGUGCCUCCCAUGGUAUGGAGAAAUUUCUUCUUGCUUCCACCUUCAUGAUAUUGCACUCCUUUGGCAGUUGUUGAAGGUAGGUGGGAUGGGAGUGAACAGGCUGCUGGUUGACCCACAUUAGUGACCCCUCCAGGCUGCCAGGCUGGCCUUUCCAGUCCUUCCUUCUUCCUCCUUCCUUGGAACUUUUGAUACAAGGAAAGAUGGCCUUUGCACAUUGGACACUGUGAGCUAGAGCACUCUCUAUCAGGAGGCCAUGCAUACUAUUGUGAGGUUUAUCUGCCCUGGAGAGUUGCUGGGCUGUGUUUAAUGGGUGACUCUGAGGCCUCAAGGAAAUGAAAGGGGGAGGGGGAGUCCAGACUUUUGUUAGCUCCUGAUUUAUGACUCAUUUAUCAUAUCUGUUGCAUGACAGGUUGGCCUCCUUCCCCCACCCACUGCAUCCCAAAUUGCAUUAAAAGGACAUGUGCAAAGCAGGACACCUCUCCUUAACCCGUCUCCCACUCUGUACAACCCUUUAAAGACUAUGGGUGUACUGGAUAACCUUUCUUUCCUUAAAAUAUCAGUGAAUAUUGUUUUUUUAAAACCCCUCACAGGUGAGCCCCAAAUCUCACCUAGACUGCUGAGCAGAAUGAGAAAGGCUCCAGCUAGGCAGAUAAGCUCUUGCCCUUCUUUCUGUAACUUAUAAAUUGGGUGCUUUUGCAAAUUGGGCAACUUCUGCAAUCAGGCUAAUGGUAUGCAUUUUCAGAGCAAAGUGUGGUUGGCUUUUUCUGUUUAGGUUUAGAGAUGACUCAGGAUGUCAUUGGAGCUUGCUGCUUGGGAAUUUCUAAUGUGGGGAAAGCUUGUGGGAAAUUUGAAGGUGGCUGUGAAGCCCCCUGAUAAUUACGGUAGGAACUUUCAUCUUUAUAAAGUACUUUUGUUUCUGGGGUAAUUUCCACAUGCUCUAACUUUUUUUGAAUAAUUAUGGGUCUUUUAAUGCUAGUAUUUCAUGAACAAUGACCAUGAACCUAGUACGUACUGAGUAUUGCCACAGAGUAUAUAUAUAUAUAUACAUUUGCAUUAUUUUUAUAUCCAUACUUAGCUAAUAUUUCUUUAGUGCUCACCUUCUGCCAGAUACUGUGCUAAGCACUUUACAUAUUUUAAUUCUUUUAAUAUUCACAAUGUUUCCUAUGAGGUAGAUGUUUACAGACAAUAGAACUGAGGUACAGAGAGGCCAAGUGACUUAUACUAAGUAUCUUUAGGAUGGCUGCAAUGAAACCUCCUCCUGCUGUUCUUCCCACUGUGAUCCCCUUCCUUCAGGUGAAAGCUGGACCUACUGACUCACUUUAAAUGAACAGAAUAUGGCCAAAGUGAUGGAACAUCAUUUCCAAGAUUAGGUUACAAAAAGACUAAGACUUCUGUGUGGGUGAAGUAAGCUACCACAAUGGGGGUAGCCCUAUGAAGGCCAACACCACAAGGAAUUAACGCCUCUGGCCAAUAGCCAGCAGAGACCCCAGGCCUAUCUGACAAUUGGAUUGCACUUGUGUGACCCUGAACCAGAGGACCCAGUGACAACAGAGCUGAGCUGAUAUAGAAACUGUGAUAAUAAAUGUGUUAAAAAAAAUUUUUUUGUUAAUCCUCACCCAAGGAUAUUUUUUUCAUUGAUUUUUUAUAUAGAGUGGAAGGGAAGGAGGAGGGGGAGAAAGAGAGAGAGAGAAACAGAGAAACAUUGAUAUCAGACACAUCAAUGGUUGCCUUCUGAACUUGCUCGACCCAGGCCUGUGAUCUAACCUGCAACUGGAAUUGAAACUGUGACUCUUCAGUGCGAGGGCUGACAAUCUAAUCACUGAGCAACACUGGCCAUGGCAAUGUUUGUUGUUUUAAGCCACUAGGCUUGGGGGUAGUUUAUUACACAGCAAUAUCACUAAUACACUUGCUCAAGGUUAAAAAGCUUGUCUCUAUUAAGAAUUGCAGAUUAUAGACCCUGUACAUUUUUCCUCUCUUAAAUUAUUUUUAUUAUAAUGCUACUUAAGUAUAUAGAAACAAAUCUAGGAAUGCAGUUUUUAUGAUUAUUGUUGUAUACAGCUAUAAAAAUAAAAAAUUGGAAUACCAAAUUU